UUGUAUAAGCGAUUUGUAUCUAGCAAAUCAUAAACAAUGAAACUUUAACCUGAAAAUUUAGUAUUACAAGUUACAGAACUGUAUGAAUUUACAUUUUAUUAGUUUAUCUAUUGGAAAAAUAUUGAUAAAGUACUAAUGUUACGUGUUCAUCCAAGUUGCACAAGGCUGUACUAGGACUUAUAAUGUCUUCCGGCAAGAAUUUCGUAUAGUAAAUAAUCUCUGACGUUGCGGUAGAGAAGAUAUGAAGGCUUUUGAUAAUUGUAGACAUUUAAAAAGGCACCGCAGGGAAUAUAUUAGUUGCGACACAUUUAUACUAUUGUCUUCAUUGAAAACGAAAAAAUUAAGAAGAAAAAAUAUAUAUUUGAUCACUACUGGAUGGGUCAAAAUUCCAUUAGUUUAAACGAAUUAACAAUAUUUAAUAUGGAAAUUCGUUGGAAUCAUUUUAAAAAAUCUGAAGCUAGAUGCAAUAACUGAUACUACAGAUAAAUACAGAGAUAUCGAAUAUCUCGAAUUGUGUUCAAGAUGCUUGAAAAAAAAAUAUUUAUCAAUAAAACUCUCGAUUUUUCCAUGGAAAUUUAUCUUGUAUAUUAUAAUUGAAAAAAGAAUUUGUUAUAAAUGAUGUUAUUUACAGUGAAUGUAAUAUUGAAAUAUAAGAAAUGUAAUAAUUAUUUGUCCGAAACAAGGAGUGCGAAUAUUGAAUUGUGCCUUGUUUUAAAUCUGUUU